CUUCAGAUCCACCCGAACAACCUAUUGAGAAUCAUUACAAUGUAAACCACUAAAAAUUUUGGGAAUCUAAACCCGCGAAGCAGGGCUGCACUUGCAGUGUUGGAAUGGCAGAUCUGACAGGGUAAAGAGAAUCUCUAGAUGAUGGCUGGGUGCAAAGGUGGGUCCGGCGUCAAUACCAGUUGAGAUUGGACUGGAUCUUGAGUCGGGUCUAAGCCUGACCCGGAUUGAUCUUGUUUUCCGAUCGACAUUCGACACCUGGAUUGCCUUGGGAGGAGUUGAACGCGGUUGACGAGGCUCCUAGAAAGCCUUCGACGUCAGGCGGCAGCAAGUAUGGGGAAAGGCAGGAGAUGGAGCUGUAAAGGAAGACUGGGAUGCAGCAAUGAUGGUAUUGACGAGGGGAUUGAAAGAGUGAGAGGAAAAUGAAGGAUUUGACGGGAAAUGAGAAGGUUUAGAGUUGUACCAGAGAAUUGAAAGAGAGAGGUCGAGAUUUGAAAGGGAUUCGAG
rnacentral:misc_RNA from 1 species